rnacentral:lncRNA from 10 species
CUCUGUUUUCAGGCUGUGUUUUCUCUUCUUCUCUCUCUCCUCUUCCUCCUGCUGCCUCCCACUCUGUGCUGCUGCAGUUUCCCAAGGCUACAAGGAGCAGGGCAUCCCACAGCAGCUGUGAGCCCACGGGAGCCGCUGGGGAGAUCCAGGGGGGCCCUGUGAGGGCUGCACCAGGCAGCUUUGGGCACAAGGACCUUUACAUGUUCUUUUCUGCCAUUUUCUGGACUGGGGGUGGAAAGGGGGUAUUUUUAAAAAUAUUAUUUAUUUUGAAAACG